UUUAAGUAAAAUUUAAAUUAAAAUAAAUAAUUAAAAUAAUAAUAUAAAUAGAGAGAUUUUAGUGAAAUAAUUUAAAAAAUAUAAUUUUUUAUAGGGGAAUAGUAUAGUAAUAGAAAAUUGAAAUAUUCAAUGAAAUAUUUAAUAAUUUAAAAGUAAAUUUUAUUUGUUGUAUCUUUUGUAUCAGAGAUUAUUAAAAAUUUAAUUGUGAUUAUAUUUAAUCUCAAAACUUAAAGAUUUAAUUGAUUAAGUUAGUUAAUGUAGAAUUAUUAUUGAUAAUAAUUAAUUAGAAAUGAAAUGUUUAUCGUUUUAAGUUAUAUUUAGUUUUUUUAGAAAUAAAUUUAAUUUAUUUAUUUAAUUUUGAUUAUAUUUAUUUAAAAAUAAAUUUAUAUUAAUUAAAUAAAAAUUUUUAAGGGGAUAAUCUUUUAAGAAUUAUUUAUAUAGAUCUAUAGUAAUAUAUUUAAAAUUUAUAUAAAUAAGAUUUUUUUUUAUUUUUUAUUUUUAGUAAAAAAUUUUAUUUAAAGAGUUAUAUUUUAAUUUUGAUAUUAAUUAAAAUCUAUAAAAAUUUUUAUUUUAAUAAUUAAAAUAAUGUAAUUAUGAUAAUAUUAGUAUAUAAAGUUAAAAUUAUUAAUAUAAAAAUUAAUAAAAGAUAAUUAAAAAAAAUUCGGCAAUAAUAUAUUCGCUUGUUUAUCAAAAACAUGUCUUUUUGUUUAAUAAUUUAAAGUCUAAUCUGCUCACUGAAAUUAUAAUAUUUAAAGAGCCGCAAUUAAUUGUGCAAAGGUAGCAUAAUCAAUAGUUUUUUAAUUGAAAACUGGUAUGAAUGAUUGGACGAAAUAUAUUCUGUUUCUUAAUUAUUAUAUAAAAUUUAUUUUUUUAAUGAAAAAAUUAAAAUAAUUUUAAAAGACGAGAAGACCCUAUAAAUGUUUAUAUUUUUUUUAUAAAAAUAUUUGUAAAAAAAGUAUUUUAUUGGGGUGAUAAAAAAAUUUAAAAAACUUUUAUUAUUAUAAUCGUUAAUUAAUGAAUUAUAUGUAUUUAUGAUCUAUAAGUUGUAAAUUAAGAUAAAGAUACUUUAGGGAUAACAGCGUAAUUUUAAUUUUUAGUUCUUAUAAAAAUUAAAGAUUGCGACCUCGAUGUUGGAUUAAAAUUUAUAUUAAAUGUAGGUGUUUAAAUAUUGGGUCUGUUCGACCUUUGAAAUUUUACAUGAUCUGAGUUCAAACCGGUGUAAGCCAGGUUGGUUUCUAUCUUUAAUUUAAUAAAAUUAAUUAGUACGAAAGGAUUAUUAAUUUAAAAAAUUUUUAAAAGAAGAUUAUUAAUAAUGAAUUAUUUUAUAAUAUA
rnacentral:rRNA from 1 species